rnacentral:rRNA from 1 species
GACGAACGCUGGCGGCGUGCCUAAUACAUGCAAGUAGAACGCUGAAGGAGGAGCUUGCUUCUCUGGAUGAGUUGCGAACGGGUGAGUAACGCGUAGGUAACCUGCCUGGUAGCGGGGGAUAACUAUUGGAAACGAUAGCUAAUACCGCAUAAUAGUAGAUGUUGCAUGACAUUUGCUUAAAAGGUGCAAUUGCAUCACUACCAGAUGGACCUGCGUUGUAUUAGCUAGUUGGUGGGGUAACGGCUCACCAAGGCGACGAUACAUAGCCGACCUGAGAGGGUGAACGGCCACACUGGGACUGAGACACGGCCCAGACUCCUACGGGAGGCAGCAGUAGGGAAUCUUCGGCAAUGGACGGAAGUCUGACCGAGCAACGCCGCGUGAGUGAAGAAGGGUUUCGGAUCGUAAAGCUCUGUUGUAAGAGAAGAACGAGUGUGAGAGUGGAAAGUUCACACUGUGACGGUAUCUUACCAGAAAGGGACGGCUAACUACGUG